rnacentral:misc_RNA from 1 species
CAGAGUUGCGAAACUCCAUAAACGCAUUGCGAACCCACCACGUGAACAGUUGCUUCGGCGGGUGGCUGGCCAGGGGCCCCCCUAGCUGGGGCCGGCCGCCGCGAAACCCGCCGGAGGCACCCAAACUCUUGUUUGUUACAGGCCUCUCUGAGUUAUAGCACUUGAAUAAAGUC